GCCACGUUAUUGAAUAGACAAAAUCCCAUCGCCUCAUCAUGUUCAGCAUGAUGUCCAGGAGGCCUAACUAUAGCAGCAGCAGAAUGCAAUUCCCCUUUGGCUACUUUCUCAGCAACCUCUAUGACAGAACCAGCAGCAAGGUAAGCAGCUUCUGAUGAUCCUUCAUUAAAGUAUAUGGAAUUGAAUUUUGAAGCAAUUCUAUUUCUUCGAGAAUCAAAUUUUUUGGACCUUAUAUUUCUAAUCAAAUUAACAUGAUUCUUGGAGUGAAC
rnacentral:misc_RNA from 1 species